rfam:Penicillium nalgiovense strain IBT 13039 PENNAL_contig0010, whole genome shotgun sequence.
ACAUACGACCAUAGGGUGUGGAAAACAGGGCUUCCCGUCCGCUCAGCCGUAUUUAAGCCACACGCCGGUGAGUUAGUAGUUGGGUGGGUGACCACCAGCGAAUCCUCACUGUUGUAUGUU